AAAAUUGACAGUGUUAUUAAGUGUUAAUUUUUCAGAGACAUAUUUUUCAGUGUUCAUUAGUGUUAAUUAGUGUAACUUCGGGAGUUGUUUGAACAAACAUGUACACCGACGGUGUAAUUAAAACUCACAACCUAGUGUUUUAAGUGGGUGUGAAUGUACGAACUCUGGGGUGGAGUCAUUUACACUUCCGGUCCUUCAGUUGAGAUUUUUGAAAAGAAGAUGGACGCCAUUGAAGUACAUCGUGGGAUAGUAAAAGGGUCAGCAAAAUGCUCAUCAAUGUCCAGUACCAUGGAGAAAAAAGUACCUCAAACUGCUGCCUGGUUUUUCCUUUCAAAGUUAAAUUCGAGAAGGCACAUCAAUCCACUGGUGCAAAAGAAGAGAACACCUCUGCCAUAGGAGAUUCAGCAGAAAAAGGCCAAACAGAUGGUCCAGGAGGUUCUGGAGAAGAGUUAAAUGGGAGAGGAAAUAAUGGAGGAGUAUAGUAGAGCACCUUGACACACUGUACAAGAAGGCAUCUUCUGAAUAUCCUGGUCCAUGGGAUACCAGUACGAAGUCAAGGAAAAAGAUAUGCACUCGGCAUUGUGACUGUUUCCUAAUCUCAGGGAUCCUUACUCCACCAAUGGCUAUGAACACUUCUACGAUGCUGGAAGAGGGACGGGCUAUCUGGCAUGGCGCCUAAAGCAACGAGUGUCGCAGCGUUUGGUCAAGAACAGCUCGGGAGCCUUGGAAUACAUUAACACCAUGAGCUUUAGA